GGCUCAGAUUGAACGGCUGGCGGCAUGCCUUACACAUGCAAGUCGAACGGCAGCACGGGUGCUUGCACCUGGUGGCGAGUGGCGAACGGGUGAGUAAUAUAUCGGAACGUACCUUAUCGUGGGGGAUAACGCAGCGAAAGCUGCGCUAAUACCGCAUACGACCUGAGGGUNAAAGGGGGGGAUCGCAAGACCUCUCGCUAUUGGAGCGGCCGAUAUCAGAUUAGCUAGUUGGUGGGGUAAAGGCCUACCAAGGCAACGAUCUGUAGUUGGUCUGAGAGGACGACCAGCCACACUGGGACUGAGACACGGCCCAGACUCCUACGGGAGGCAGCAGUGGGGAAUUUUGGACAAUGGGCGCAAGCCUGAUCCAGCAAUGCCGCGUGCAGGAAGAAGGCCUUCGGGUUGUAAACUGCUUUUGUCAGGGAAGAAAUCCUCUAGGUUAAUACCCUUGGGGGGAUGACGGUACCUGAAGAAUAAGCACCGGCUAACUACGUG
rnacentral:rRNA from 1 species